GGCGUCGUAAAAGGUAGUCGCAGCUGAUCUGCCGGGCAGUAAGGUGUUCGGGUACAUCUAUCCGUCAGUUCUACGUUUCGCGCGAGCUAGUAAAGCGUGUGAGAAAUUGUGUCUGGUGUUAUUUUUGACAGUGACCGUGCAGGGUGCAGAGAUUGGGAAUAUUUGGCGGAGAUUCUGUUUCCCGAGUGAAUCGCAGCAGCGCAGAUACUGAUUCCGCACCGGCAUUGGUACACGUGUCUUCCAGCUGUAACCCUUGUCACCCACGGACUUUGGUUCGAAAUCGUUUUGGAAGGCGACCGGAUAAAAAUUGAAAUUGAUCCCUAAUAAAGGU